rnacentral:rRNA from 1 species
GACGAACGCUGGCGGCGUGCCUAAUACAUGCAAGUCGAACGCAGUGGGGACGGGUGAGUAACACGUGGGUAACCUCCCAUCAGAGGGGAUAACACUUGGAAAAAGGUGCUAAACCGAUAUCGAUGGAUGGACCCGCGGUGCAGUAGCUCGUUGGAGGGGUAAAGGCUCACCAAGGCCACGAUGAAUAGCUGACCUGAGAGGGGGAUCGGACACACUGGGACUGAGACACGGCCCAGACGCCUACGGGAGGCAGCAGUAGGGAAUCUUCGGCAAUGGGCGAAAGUCUGACCGAGCCACGCCGCGUGUGUGAAGAAGGGUUUCGGAUCGUAAACCACUGUUGGUAGAGAAGCGGUAUCUAACCAGAAAGCCACGGCUAACUACGUGCCAGCAGCCGCGGUAAUUC